rnacentral:rRNA from 1 species
GCAUAUCAAUAAGCGGAGGAAAAGAAACCAACAGGGAUUGCCCUAGUAACGGCGAGUGAAGCGGCAACAGCUCAAAUUUGAAAUCUGGCUCUUUCAGGGUCCGAGUUGUAAUUUGCAGAGGGCGCUUUGGCGUUGGCAGCGGUCCAAGUUCUUUGGAACAGGACGUCACAGAGGGUGAGAAUCCCGUACGUGGUCGCUAGCCUUCGCCGUGUAAAGCCCCUUCGACGAGUCGAGUUGUUUGGGAAUGCAGCUCUAAAUGGGAGGUAAAUUUCUUCUAAAGCUAAAUACUGGCCAGAGACCGAUAGCGCACAAGUAGAGUGAUCGAAAGAUGAAAAGCACUUUGGAAAGAGAGUCAAAUAGCACGUGAAAUUGUUGAAAGGGAAGCGCUUGCAGCCAGACUUGCCUGUAGUUGCUUAUCCGGACUUUUGUCCGGUGCACUCUUCUGCGGGCAGGCCAGCAUCAGUCUAGGCGGUUGGAUAAAGGUCUCUGUCAUGUACCUCUCUUCGGGGAGGCCUUAUAGGGGAGACGACAUGCAACCAGCCUGGACUGAGGUCCGCGCAUCUGCUAGGAUGCUGGCGUAAUGGCUGUAAGCGGCCCGUCUUGAAACACGGACCAAGGAGUCUAACAUCUAUGCGAGUGUUUGGGUGUCAAGCCCAGACGCGUAAUGAAAGUGAACGGAGGUGGGAACCCUUUGGGUGCACCAUCGACCGAUCCUGAUGUCUUCGGAUGGAUUUGAGUAAGAGCAUGGCUGUUGGGACCCGAAAGAUGGUGAACUAUGCUUGAAUAGGGUGAAGCCAGAGGAAACUCUGGUGGAGGCUCGCAGCGGUUCUGACGUGCAAAUCGAUCGUCAAAUUUGGGCAUAGGGGCGAAAGACUAAUCGAAC